CAGUGUUAUAAAAUGUUUAUUAAUGUAUACAAUACUAAAGUCUGCAAAGGAAAGGUCAGCAUGUUUACAAGAUUGGUGAGGGGAGCACAUUUAAGCCCUCAAGUGAUGAGUAAUCUUCUGCCAUGAAGGAAACUUCUUUGGUUUAAGUGGUUAUCUAAGUCAGCCGGCUAAGAAGCAAAAACAAAGAUUAUGUUAAACACAAGAUCACUACCUGACAGUGCUCAAAGUGUGUAGCACACCGUGGUCCUCAUAACUCGUAGAUUUAACAAUGCAAAGAACGAAAAGAAGACUUUUGAACAAAUACACAUUGUAUACAUUUAUUUUUUAGCAGACCAGAUAUCACCAAGUAGCACAUUUGCAUGAAUAAGCAGAAAGUACACAUACACCUAGUGUUCAAUCCAUUUUCAUCUUGGGUGAUUUAUAUGAAAAAUGUAAAUGAAAAGCAAAGGUUAAACACACUCAAGUUGUUCAAAAGGAUACAUAUCAAAUUGCUUUACGCAUUUAUUCUUAACAGAUCUUAUUCAAUAAACGUGCAGAGUAUUGCUGUAACACACAAAGCACUUUCUUUUUCUCCAAAUACUGUAAUACCAAAAUGUGCUGUGUUUGCAGGGACUGUUAUUUGGCUUUGAAUUUUAGUGAAAGAUAAAAUUCUUUACUUUUACUUCAACCUACAAACCGUUUUGACGGAAAAAAAAAAAAAAAAAAAAAAAAAAGCUCUGAAAUGCAAGCAAGCUGCAGAGGCCAUUUAUAAAAACAGAGCCAUGAAUACCCUUAGAUUACUGCUUAAACAUAGUAACAACAAUAGUUAAACAGCAUAUUUAACAAUUAACAUACUUUAUUUGUUUAGUUGUAUUUCAACAGUGGAUAGUAGGUUUUCCCCCACGUGGUGUAAACAUACAACACAGUCUAUACAGCUUUGCUGUAGUAAAUUCUCUAUUUAAUCUGAUAUCUGAUGUAUACAUAAGAUUUUUUAUAUUGCUGUUCAUUUCCCAUGUUAAAUAUUCCCAUUGAUUUUCCACAAAUGAAGCUAAAACAAUACAUAUGUUCCUGCAUAAAACAUACUGACUGAAUACAAGUGUAAGAACUUCUUUUUUUAAAAUUUGUUUUUAUUUUUAAAAUGUGGCACAUAUAUGAAGCGAGUCACCUGAAUGAUAAUCUUAAGCUCAACUAUUAUUAUAAUUAGGAAUGUGUCCACACUUUUAAUAAAUUGAUCUUUAAUGUAUAGUUUAGAUUUUAUUUUUUGACUUAAGACUAAAGCAUUAUUACUCACUUCAAUCAGAAGCAGUGUAACACAUCUGGUUCCCACAGUUUAAACACAAUCCUACUAAGAUGCACAUACUGUUGCUCAAAGGCAACUUUAGCAUCUUUCCCAACAGCUCAAGUUCUAUCCUAGACAUCUCACCUCACCCUCCACUAUGAGCUCAUGCCCAGGAGCCUCUGCUGGGGCAUAAUACCUGUGGCUCCACGUACGCUGUUCCUCUCUCUGCACUCCCAAUAAGGAGGCCAAGGGCAUGAAAAAUGGGCUGAGAAAGAGUCAUCCGUCAAACCUAGGAAUGCUGCCUUCUGCCUUUAUCCACUUCUGUGACCUCUCUGGAUCCACUGCACUUGGUUGGGCUUGCUAAAUUAUUUUUAGGAAGUCAUGGCAUUGGACAGCUUGGGAAAAGCUCCAAGGAAGAGCAACAAGAGAAGGGUCACUUUACAGGAACUUGAAGGAAUGACUUUCAAACACAAAGUUGAUGUUUGCACCUCCUUUAAAAUGUCUCAUGGAGUUAAUUUCAAAAAAUUAAAAACUCCACGGAAUUUCCGGCAUGGUUUACUAUCACUCUUAUAUACAAAAAGCAUAGUAAUCCAAGCCUACUGGGGAGCAGUUCCUUAUACCAGCUGGUGCAUGAUAAAGACACUGCAGGUGAAUGUCUGUGCAGCAACAAGACAGACGGGCUUUAGUGAUGAAACAGUGUUUACAUUUUAAACAUAUGAAUCCCAGUAAACAUUUCACCAUGAAAGUUAGGAACGCCUUCAAGACAAACACUUUAGAAUCACCCAAGUAUCACAUAAUGACAGAAAUCUCACAGAUACAUUUAAUUUAUGUACUGAAGGCAGUUAUCGCAUAGCAGUGUGCCUC
ensembl:lncRNA